GCCCUAUAUAUGAAACAAUUGUACCUCUAAAAGCAAAUAGGAUGGGCCCCAAAUGAACAUGUACCGCCUGCAUUAUACAUCAUGGUUUUAAUUCUAACAUGAUAUAGUUGAGUACAGAGUCAAAAAAACGAACUUAUUCAAAUUCUCAAAUACUUUACUAGAUCUCAAGUGGUUGUCUGUUGUGGGACUUCAUUUAGUUAUUUUCCAAAGGCUGAGUGCUAGUUGGAAGGAAGACGUUUUACUUGUAAAGGUAAACCAUAAAUCCCAGAUGGCGGCUUGCCACAUCUAUUAAAGAAAUCUUGUCAAAUCAAGUGACAUUUGAAGUCAAGUUUUACAUUAGAUUUGUGGUUGUAUGCUUAAUGUGCACCUUGCAUUAAAUUAGACAAAUCUUUGGCAUACUGCAUCUGCUGAGGUCAUGUUGGGCAAAAUGCCAUGAACUCUAGUAACCAGUUCUAUCAGCUAAAACAUGGUCUUUUUAUAUCUGAGAGAUCUUCCGCUGGCUUACUGUAUUUAUAUGUUUUAAAGCUACCCUGCAUUUACGUCAUGAGCCAAAAUGUUAAGACCACUACUUACAAAAAAAAAACAAAAAACACUUUGUGAGCCAAAAUAAAUCCAAUUGUUGGUGUUGAAUAAAACCUUUGUUUACUCCCAUAAUUGAGUGCCUGCCUCUUCCGUGAAUUUCUGUGUUGUAUGUACUUUGAAGAAACACUCCAAAUAUAAGAGGCUUAAAUGUUCAAUUAAUUGCACCAUUACUAGGAUCCAAUAGAUGAGUGGGUUUUCCUAUGACAGACCUUGUGCCUAUUUCAUGUUGUUUAUGAUUAGACCAAUCCAACAUUAAACUUCUUAUGGAUAAAUUCGAUUAGAUUCUGACUUUUCACUGACCCUCUACUGCAGGGUGUUCUAUUCCAAACCAGGAAAACGGUAAGAUCACAGUCUUGCCGACAGCACUCACAGUGAUGAUAUAGUCUGUCUGAACAAUCGCGCAUGCACAGUUACCUCUUUAGGACGAGCUGCCGGGUAAAGCAGAGAGAUCUUUGGUCUGGUAAAUGCGGUUCCUGAUCAGCACUUACU